rnacentral:rRNA from 1 species
UACGUAGGGGGCGAGCGUUGUCCGGAUUUAUUGGGCGUAAAGAGCUCGUAGGCGGUCUGUCGCGUCUGUUGUGAAAACUCGAGGCUCAACCUCGGGCUUGCAGUGGAUACGGGCAGACUAGAGUGCGGUAGGGGAGACUGGAAUUCCUGGUGUAGCGGUGGAAUGCGCAGAUAUUAGGAGGAACACCGGUGGCGAAGGCGCCGCUCUGGGCCGAAACUGACGCUGAGGAGCGAAAGCAUGGGUAGCAAACAGG